UCAAGUUACCCUUCAUUUUUAACUUUGCUCUGACCGAACCGAGGGCUUAAAGUGUAAUUUUACUGUCCAUUUGUAAUCAUCCAAUUGAAAGAAGAGAGAACAGAAGGAAACGGGUGCAAAAUUUCUCCAGUGGGGACAUCAUCUCUUAUUUUCUGGGCAAUCCAUUAAUCCACUGGGCUAAAGAAUAUGAUAAUGGUUGGGGAAAGUACACGGCGUCUACCUAAUUGGAUGCUAGGUGUAAGUGUAACUGCUGAUAAUGAUAAUAAUAAGAAGAAGAACAUUACCGACGAGCCUGAAGAUGAAGAGGACGAUGCAAAUUUGGCAAAGAAUUCAAAAUUCGAAGCCAAAAGGAGAAAGAGGAACCAAGUUAAAGACAAUAAAGAGCUGGAUGAUGAUACUGACAACGACGUAAACAAGAAAACAAGCAAUCGGCCUGGGAGAAAGCGAAAAGCAAAAAGUAAGGCGGAGAUCAAAGCUAAGUACGAGGAGGAGGAGGGGGAGGAGCUGACUGUUGAAGACUUAGUCAGCAUUGCCGAGGAGUACGUCAAAGCUGACGAGGAUUCACGGAGAAAACAAACAUCAGGCAGAGAAUGUAAAUUGCAAAGACAACUUCCAACAACAGCUUCUUCUAAGAAUGAUUUAGAAGAGUCUUUCAUUGUUCUUGAUGGCAAGCAUUUAUCAGCUAGUUGUGAAACCACUUCUUAUGGUUCAACUAUGAAUUUAGUUAGCGAAGAAAGUCUCAUUUCCUCAAGUAGGACAGGGGAUCCUGACAUGUUGGAUUUAUUUUUGGGUCCCUUGCUUAAGAAGCCAAUGGAGAAAGAGAAGAGGUCUGAAUUUACUACAAUGGAUGUUGAUUUUACCUUUGAGUUGAAAAAGAAAACUCGCAAUGAUUUUGGAGACGAAAUGGUGCCCCCAAUGAAGAAGAAGAGCAGUCUUAAAGACAAGGUAUCCUUAUUGCUUGACUGAUUAAAGAGUCCAAAGCAGAUAUGUUGAGAUGCUACUAUGAUCCUCUCAAUCUGGUUCCAUCAAGCAAGCGAUUUCUGGACACUUCCAUCUCUUCUUCACUUCAGAUGAUAUUUCCCUAGGUCUUCCUGGUACGUAAAUAAUAAUAGGUGGCUUGAUUUAAGGACAAGCAUGGAGUUGGCCUGGAGCUAGGUUGGAGGAAGUGAUCUCUUACUUGUCAUGCCUGCUGCUGACACAGAAAAAAAAAGAUGUCAGGAGUCGAGGACUUGCAUGAAGUGGCCUCGCGCUGGGUAAGAAUUUAUUUUCUACACGUCAUGACUGCUGAAGGUGUGGUGGCUUCUUGUGAAGUUAAAGCUACGGCUUUCUGUACGAGUCAUACGUGACAAGCUUUGAAAGAGACUUUAUUGUUUGUUAAUAGGUGCGUGCAACGCUGGCUGGUUUGUAAAGGCUAUACGAAGAUACUCCAUUUUAGAUUGGCAGAGCCUGAAACUCAUUUUCUAGGCAAAAGUUUCCCACUGAAACAAAUUGCUAGCUGAAGCAUGUUCAAGACAAUGCUAUUACAUGUUUCGGUAUUGGGGUGUGCAAUCAUGUUUUUUUAAAAA